AGCGAACGCUGGCGGCAGGCCUAACACAUGCCAGUCGAACGAACCUUUCGGGGGUAGUGGCGUACGGGUGAGUAACACGUGGGAACGUGCCUUUAGGUUCGGAAUAACUCAGGGAAACUUGUGCUAAUACCGAAUGUGCCCUUCGGGGGAAAGAUUAAUCGCCUUUAGAGCGGCCCGCGUCUGAUUAGCUAGUUGGUUGAGGUAAUGGCUCACCAAGGCGACGAUCAGUAGCUGGUCAGUGAGGAUGAUCAGACACAUUGGGACUGAGACACGGCCGAAACUCCUACGGGAGGCAGCAGUGGGGAAUCUUGCGCAAUGGGCGAAAGCAUGACGCAGCCAUGCCGCGUGAAUGAUGAAGGUCUUAGGAUUGUAAAAUUCUUUCACCGGGGACGAUAAUGACGGUACCCGGAGAAGAAGCCACGGCUAACUUCGUG
rnacentral:rRNA from 1 species